GGGCGGGAGCAAAGAAGACCAACCUGGAAAACAGAGGUAUACAAGAGGGUCAGUGGCAACUGGGGCAAAAGGGAAGAAGCUGCAGAGAUGAUACAGGCCAGGAAAACGAGACCAGAUGGAAGAAAAUGGGCAUAGCAGGUGUCUUCCUUUAGGCAUCUUGUUGAGAUGUUGGAAUGAAGAAUUUGGGGAAAAGGAAGCACACAGCAGCUGUUUCUGAAUGUUCAGGCAACAGUCAUGCAUUGGCGCAUAUGAUACACUUCAAGAAAGGGCGAAAAUAGCUCCCACCUACAAUCUACAGUUGUGGUACCCACUAUCUACAUGUGAAGGCUCUGCAUGGCGUAUUGAUGAUUCUGAACACCCAGUCACGGCCAUCUUGGGAUCUUCCUUUUCUGCCUGGUAGAAGCUUUACGAUCACGUAGGAUGGGAGCUCAUGCUACUGGAGAUGCCUCUCUGAAACACUGUCUCGUUUGAAGGAGGAGGCUGAGCUUCAUGACACCUAAAGGCUAUGCUGAGUAGGAAGGAGGACAGGAGAGGCAAGUGACUCUAGUUUGCUAACUAGUUCAGCUGCCUUCUUAUAUAUGUCUAAACUGGUUUAUUCUCUCACUCUCAAGCCCACUCAGUCAGGAAUUGCAUGUUUUUGUUUGUUUGUUUGUUUGUUUGUUUGCUUGCUUGCUUGUU